UGGCGGAGCCGGCAUCAGAACCCUGGUCCUCGUGAUUCUCGGGCCCACUAGGCCAUGCUGUUUCUAAAGGUAAAGAAAGAGGUCUAGUGGUAGAUGGGAACCUGGGAUGUUUGUGAGACUGCUGCCAGGUUUUUCUGGUUUAGACACUCAUACCUCAUCCAGUCCUGCACGCUCUCCCUGACACAACUUUGUCGUGAUCAGUCAAUCACUGGUGUCUAUCGAGUGCUUACUGUGUGCAGAGCACUGUAUGCAGAGGCUGUCCCUUUGGCAGUGCCCAACCAAGGGCAUUGGGUCCCCGGGCUAGAAGCAGCCCCACUGUGAGCGGGUGUCAGCGAGGGUUGUGGCACCGGCCACAGAAAUAAGCUUCCUAGCUUCACAUCGGUGUUUUUGCAGCAGCAGGAGACCACCACCGUUCUACCCGGUCACCUUCUCCGUGGUUCCAUUUCACGGUUGCCUAUUUACUCAAUCGCUAACAUCCUUUUCUACUGCGAAACAUUUCAUCCCCCUGGAACACAGCCAGAGUAAUGAAUAUUUUAAAGGUGAACCAAGCAGGAAGGCAUCAAGCCCCAUCUGUGCGAUGUCCCGAAACCCUGCAGUAGGCACCGACUUGUCACAAACAUGCACGGUCAACAUCCGCCUCACUCCGUUCCCGCCCGAGCCUCCGGCCUUCUCCCACUCGUCGCGACCCAUCCAACACACUGCGUAUGUGGUCUGCUCAGAGGCUCCCAUCUCCAGGCUCUGGGGCUAAUCGAUCAAUUGGGGGGUCUGUAAUGAGGGUCUACUGAAACCUCACUGGGGGUGGGGGAUGUGUCUCAGGCUUCUAGUCUUGCUUUCCCAAGCGCUUAGUACAGUGGAUGCAUUAGCACCAUUAGCACCCAGCAGGCAUGGCACUCCAAAAGAGCCCGCGCUAAGCACGGCAAAGAGCUUGGGAGAGGGCCAAAGAAGCUAGGAUGCACGUUCCCUGCUCUCCCAGGAGUUAUAAUCCAAUGAGGGACACAGACAUCACGUAUUUACAAAGAGUGGAAUGCUGGAGGAGGAAAAGUCGAUCAGCGGUACUCACUGAAGAUGUACCGCGUGCAGAGCACUGGGCCUAAUAGCGCUCGGGAGAGCAUAAUGCAAACAAAUUGGUGGCUCACCGAAAUUACACAUUCCCUACCCACCGGGAGCGUACAGUCUAGAGGGAUAGGAAGACGGCAGUAGUAAAAGUAGGUCAAGAAUGAAAAAGCUGGCUAAUUAAAUAUACAUGUCAACUAACAUUUUGGCAGGAAUCUUACCUUCUCUCCCAGACCGCAUUACCACGCUUGGUUGGAAUAACUGCAAUGGUAAGGCCCUCGGGACGCAACUGGAAAUGGGUCGUUUGGAUUUUUUGAAGGGGUUUGCUCUUGAAAAGGAAUGUUCCAAAUUCUAAAUAAAUGACCCCCAAUAACAUGGCAUGAGGAAAUGUCUGCCUGCCGUUUUGUAACUUUUUUUUUUUUUUACCAAUGUUCCAGUUUAGUCCUUUCUCACCCAUUACUAACAAGGGAUGUGUGUUUGCCCCACCUUUAUGGUACCGUAUUCAUUCAAUUUUUGAAGUGGAAUAAAAGAUUAUUCCUUGAAGCCUCUGACAGUUGGCCCCAGGGUCGGAAGAGAAAGGUCAGAAAGCCCCAGACAAGUUUGCCAGGGUGUUGAUUUACUGCACGCCUACUGAAGGCAGCAGAGGGGAGCUUUCAAAUCCAAAAUCUGAUUUUUCACUUUCCUCAGAUUCAGGUUAAUUGUCUACUCUCUCUAUUCCUUUUCGUUAGGUAUCCCUGGCCAUGGCAACCGACCCGCCGGCUGUGGACGAAGAAGGAAGCAGAUCCAAGUCAUACCCACUUUCUUCCAUUCCACAUCCGAGUUCCAUCAUUCAGCAGACACUAAAUGUGUACCACGGAUGACGAGGGAGAAGCUACCGUUGCCAUGUGGCCAUCACUUCUUUUUUUGGAUCACUUGGAAUCUCUGUGGGUCUGUCCACAGUGUUUUACAAGUUGCACAAAAUCCCUAAACCUCCAGGGGAGAAAACAAAGGAUCGUUAACCCAGCACAAUCACUCCAUAGUGUUUGAGUGUUUACUGAGCACAGAGCACUGUACUGAGCGCUUGGGCGACCCGCAGGCUGUUGAACGCCUCAACUUUCACUCUGACCAGAAGGACGGUUUUACAGCAAGAACUGUUUUUUGGCACAGUUGCCGGCAAGACGGUAAGUUUUACUAUCAGUUUUUACUUGACCCCUCUGGGUAAAGGCCCUUCUUGACCUGAGAGUUUAUCUUACUGCCAGCCGGUGUUUGGACCUCUUACCCUUGUCUAAUAAGGAGUUUUUAUAACUUGCCAAUUAGAUAACUCCUCAGCGGCCAAUGGGAAGGUUUAAUGAAUAAUUAAAUAGCUGCUAUCCUCCACACUUCACUUUUCCCCAGACAGGUCUCUUCCCUGUACUGCAUCUGUUCAGCCCCUUUAGUUUAAGAUUCUUCUGGUAUGUUUUUAACAAGAUUCCACCUGUAAUGGAUGUUGAGAAACUGUAAAAGUGAACCUAUAGCUCUUCUUUAAAAAAAAAACCCUGUGGUUUUGCAUUUUUGAAACAAAGGCAGCUUUUUACACUGUCCUUGGGGCAAAGGAAGCUUCAUCACCUUCUCCUUUGCCUGCCCAAUGUUUCACGUUCCUUAUUCUUUGCCCCACACCCCUCCCUUUCCCAUUUGCCUAUUCUCCCUCCCUCUCCUCCGAGGGGUCACUGCGCUAAAUGCAGUGGGAAGGAGGAAAAAAAACACCCUCCCAAAACAAUAGUUCCUUAGCCCUAUGCAUCACAGCAGGAGUGCCUACACCGCGAGAUUCCCCCAGGCCGUGGAGACUGUUAAUGAGAUCUGCUCUUUCCUAGGCUAGCCCGAUCGGUAUGUGCACGUAUCCUACUCACAGCCCUCCCUCCUUAACCGGUAAGAAAUAUUUGUUUAAGCUGUAAGAUGCAUCCACCGCAAACAGGUCUGUUUUCAAUUAGUGGCAAACGGAGCCUGGGAGAGAGUACUUUAACCAUCGAUAAUAUCGAUUCUGCACUCUUCUCGUCCCUUCCUAGGAACGGCAAGGCCUCGCAGAGGAAGAAGUCUCUCAGCGGAGGCAGAAGCGGGGCUCGUUCUUAGAAGACCGGGGGACAUCAUGAGAUUCUAAACGGCAUUAAAGGUGUGCUGAGAAGACGCCACAGGAAAGCCGAACGGCAGUCACCACCCGGGGAGGAGGAAAACCAGCCCUGCCCUUCAGCUAAGCAACCUGGGAGUGUUGUGAAUGCAAGACAGCGGGGCACGCGCUCUCAGCUCCCUCCAAGUCCCUUCACACACUUAAAUGUAGUAUUGCAGAGAGAUUCGAAAAAUGCCAUUCCUCCAGUCUGAGGUACUCACCGUCACCCAGGCACUACUGAAGCCCAAGUCCCUAAAAAUGACCGGCGGCAAAAUCAGACCUGUAAACUGCUUCUGACCGAGCAAGAGAUCAAAAAGUGGAGCACUGCGUUGGGAAGGGGAGGUGAAUUUCUGUAAGCCAGUGCCGCAACUUUUCCCUCACUGAAAUCGUGCAAGAUAGGAGGGAGAACUUAGUGAUGGCAUCGAUUCCGCCCCUAGACAACAGCUCAGCCUAGAAGAUAUUGCACCUAUAGUCCGAUUCUCCAGCUGCAGAUAGGGAAGUCAGACUAGACCGUCUCCCAGGAAAGCGCCCAGAGAUCGGCUCGGGCUGCUCGCUCCCUUCGGGAGAACGGUGAGGGUGCAUUUCCACCAGGAAGGCCCUCUGAAGCCACGGCAGUCCCCUACCUGAAGCUGCUCAUUCCUGGACCUGCCCUCGCAAGUGGACCUUCACAGCCAUGCUCGACUAACUGUGGUAUCUGUUAAGCGCUUACCGUGUGCCAAGCGCCCUACCGGGCGCU